AGCGAACGCUGGCGGCAGGCCUAACACAUGCAAGUCGAACGGAUCCUUCGGGAUUAGUGGCGGACGGGUGGGUAACACGUGGGAACGUGCCCUUUGGUUCGGAACAACUCAGGGAAACUUGAGCUAAUACCGGAUGUGCCCUUCGGGGGAAAGAUUUAUCGCCAUUGGAUCGGCCCGCGUCUGAUUAGCUAGUUGGUGAGGUAACGGCCCACCAAGGCGACGAUCAGUAGCUGGUCUGAGAGGAUGAUCAGCCACAAUGGGACUGAGACACGGCCCAGACUGCGACGGGAGGGAGCAGUGGGGAGUCUUGCGGAAUGGGCGAAAGCCUGACGCAGCCAUGCCGCGUGAAUGAUGAAGGUCUUAGGAUUGUAAAAUUCUUUGAGAGGGGACGAUAAUGACGGUACCCGCAGAAGAAGCUCCGGCUAACUUCGUG
rnacentral:rRNA from 1 species